GAGCAAUUAGUCUGAAACCCUUCAGACCAGCUUUACUUUCAGGCAAGGUUUGAGCAGUGUGAUGCUGACACAAGGAUCUUCAGCAGUCACAAGGAUGGCCCAUGCUGGUGAAGACUUAUACAACUCUGUGAUUGUCCAGGAAGAAGGUUCACCACCCUCCACCUAUGCCAUUGUCAUGGUGUCUCUCAGUGGAAGCCUCCUGCUGCUGGUUGCCAUCAGCAUGGCAGUAAGUGUUCUCCGGAGGCGUUGCACGUCAAAUUAUUCCUCCAAAAACCUUAGAACACCUGUGGUGGUGGAAAAAGUUACAGUGGCACACUGCAGCUCUGACAAGAUUUCGACGGUGGAUUUGACUGGCCCGAUGUGCAUAAAUUACAUUUCUUACAAGCAAAAUACAUGCCCAGCCACAAUUUGCCAUCUCUGAAGAGACAAGUUCCAUUUCUGAUGCUUCUCCUUUGACAACACGCCUCAAUUCAACACCAGAGCAAUGACAGCCCACAGCUUCUUCCAUUUGCAGCUUUCUUCUGGAGAGAAAUGGGGAUAAAGGACUCAGGGGAUGUGUGCUAGUUGAGAGGAUGGACUGACAUGUUGCACUUCAUUUUCUCCACCAAAGUGUUGGACUGUGAACUCAUACCACAAAAGUAUUAGAAAAUGCAGGAAAAUUGAGUUUUUUAAUGGAAAUGGAAAAAAAGCACAGAUACAUGUACUUUUUCUCUGUGACGUGUUGUGUUAAAAUAUUACUGCAGAAAUUUACGUCUUUUUCAUAUUGCCUCUUCUCUGAGGGUUGAGUCAUGAGAAAAAAAUACAGGAGGGGGAAU
rnacentral:lncRNA from 1 species